AUGGAAGUGUCCAUGUUUGGUGAGGAACAUCACCGGUCUGCAUCUCUAGAGACAUCUCACGGUUCCUGUCUGAAACCUGGAGGAGCAGCUGGAGUCGCUCGUCUUCAUCGUUCCAACGUUCAUAGGCGGUUCAGAGUCCAGCGGAUCAGAUAUGUGUGGUUUAGAUUCCAGUGGAUCAGAUAUUUGUGGUUUAGGAUCCAGGGGAUCAGAUAUUUGAUGUUUAGAUUCCAGUGGAUCAGAUAUGUGUGGUUUAGAUUUCAGUGGAUCACAUAUUCGUGGUUUAGAAUCCAGUGGAUCAGAUAUUUGAUGUUUAGAAUCCAGUGGAUCAGAUAUUUGUGGUUUAGAAUCCAGUGGAUCAGAUAUUUGACGUUUAGAAUCCAGUGGAUCAGAUAUUUGUGGUUUAGAAUCCAGUGGAUCAGAUAUUUGUGGUUUAGAAUCCAGUGGAUCAGAUAUUUGUGGUUUAGAAUCCAGUGGAUCAGAUAUUUGAUGUUUAGAAUCCAGUGGAUCAGAUAUUUGUGGUUUAGAUUCCAGUGGAUCAGAUAUUUGUGGUUUAGAAUCCAGUGGAUCAGACAUUUGUGGUUUAGAAUCCAGUGGAUCAGAUAUUUGUGGUUUAGAAUCCAGUGGAUCAGACAUUUGUGGUUUAGAAUCCAGUGGAUCAGAUAUUUGUGGUUUAGAAUCCAGUGGAUCAGACAUUUGUGGUUUAGAAUCCAGUGGAUCAGAUAUUUGAUGUUUAGAUUCCAGUGGAUCAGAUAUUUGUGGUUUAGAAUCCAGUGGAUCAGAUAUUUGAGGUUUAGAAUCCAGUGGAUCAGACAUUUGUGGUUUAGAUUCCAGUGGAUCAGAUAUUUGUGGUUUAGAUUCCAUUGGAUCAAAUAUUUGUGGUUUAGAAUCCAGUGGAUCAGAUAUUUGAUGUUUAGAAUCCAGUGGAUCAGAUAUUUGUGGUUUAGAUUCCAUUGGAUCAAAUAUUUGUGGUUUAGAAUCCAGUGGAUCAGAUAUUUGAUGUUUAGAAUCCAGUGGAUCAGAUAUUUGUGGUUUAAAUCAAAUCAAAAUCAAAGUUACUUUAUUUUUCCGUUAGGAACUUCCUUUGCUGGUGGGAUCACAGGACAAGACAGAGUCAAACAAUCAUCAGUAAAAUCCAUAAACAAAAAUCAUACAAAUCAUUAA
rnacentral:lncRNA from 1 species